rnacentral:rRNA from 1 species
CCUACGGGAGGCAGCAGUGAGGAAUAUUGGUCAAUGGGCGAGAGCCUGAACCAGCCAAGUCGCGUGAGGGAGUACUUCCCUAUGGGUUGUAAACCUCUUUUGUCGGGGAGCAAAAGCCGGACGUGUCCGGCUGUGAGAGUACCCGAAGAAAAAGCAUCGGCUAACUCCGUGCCAGCAGCCGCGGUAAUACGGAGGAUGCUAGCGUUAUCCGGAUUUAUUGGGUUUAAAGGGUGCGCAGGCGGAUUUUUAAGUCAGCGGUAAAAUCGUGGGGCUCAACCCCAUCCAGCCGUUGAAACUGGGGAUCUAGAGUGUGCGAGAGGUAUGCGGAAUGCGUGGUGGAGCGGUGAAAUGCAUAGAUAUCACGCAGAACCCCGAUUGCGAAGGCAGCAUACCGGUGCACAACUGACGCUCAGGCACGAAAGCGUGGGUAUCGAACAGGAUUAGAUACCCGAGUAGUC